CCCCCUCUUGGUUUCUUCCUCUCUUCUUCUAAAUUUUUCUCUCUAUGCCUGAACUCAUCCCUGUGCCAACCGCCAUCUACUAUCUUAGAUGCCAUCUCUCCACAUCUCUCCACACACCAUCUACUCUCUUAGAUGUCGAUCUGGAGUAACGCCUUAAGGUGUCUUAAUUUUGGAUUUGCAAAGUUCUACCACGGAUUGGGAUCGCAACUGUCUACAGUAAUCUAACUUCUCUAAAGUCAAAUCGAGCAAUCAUCUGAGCUGAAUCUUCAUAGAUCUAUUAAGGAGAUUGUUAUUAUUGGUAAGUAAAAUUUA
rnacentral:lncRNA from 1 species